AUUGAACGCUGGCGGCAUGCUUUACACAUGCAAGUCGAACGGUAACAGGCCUUCGGGCGCUGACGAGUGGCGAACGGGUGAGUAAUGCAUCGGAACGUGCCCAGUCGUGGGGGAUAACGCAGCGAAAGCUGUGCUAAUACCGCAUACGAUCUGUGGAUGAAAGCGGGGGACCUUCGGGCCUCGCGCGAUUGGAGCGGCCGAUGUCAGAUUAGGUAGUUGGUGGGGUAAAGGCCCACCAAGCCGACGAUCUGUAGCUGGUCUGGGAGGACGACCAGCCACACUGGGACGGAGACACGGCCCAGACUCCUACGGGAGGCAGCAGUGGGGAAUUUUGGACAAUGGGCGCAAGCCUGAUCCAGCAAUGCCGCGUGCAGGAAGAAGGCCUUCGGGUUGUAAACUGCUUUUGUACGGAGCGAAAAGGCUCCCUCUAACACAGGGGGCUCAUGACGGUACCGUAAGAAUAAGCACCGGCUAACUACGUGCCAGCAGCCGCCGUAACAC
rnacentral:rRNA from 1 species